ensembl:snRNA U2 U2 spliceosomal RNA
AUCGCUUCUCGGCCUUUUGGCUAAGAUCAAAUGUAGUAUCUGUUCUUAUCAGUUUAAUAUCUGAUACGUCCCCUAUCUGGGGACCAUAUAUUAAAUUGAUUUUUGGAACAGGGAGAUGGAAUAGGAGCUUGCUCCGUCCACUCCACGCAUCAACCUUGUAUUGCAGUACUUCCAGGAGCAGUGCACUUUCU